UUGAAGCAACUGCAAGCCUAAACUGAUCCUUCUAUAAGGCCUAAACUUCCAACCGAUGGAUGAGAUAUUCACGUUUAAAAGCCAACGAUUCUUUGUUACCUGUCAAGUAUUAUGGCCCUUUGUCAAGAAGAGGACCGUAUACCCGAUUCAGAGAAGGAAUUUACGAAUUGGGCCUUACAGCUGGUCACCCGAUUCAACAUACACACAUAAGUGAAACCAAUUAAGGAUUUAAGAGUAAUAUACAGAUGGCCAAGGGUGACGGUACGACUUGGAAGAAUAAAUCUGUUGUUGUGUA